GAUGAACGCUAGCUACAGGCUUAACACAUGCAAGUCGAGGGGCAGCAUUUCAGUUUGCUUGCAAACUGGAGAUGGCGACCGGCGCACGGGUGAGUAACACGUAUCCAACCUGCCGAUAACUCGGGGAUAGCCUUUCGAAAGAAAGAUUAAUACCCGAUAGCAUAGUAUUUCCGCAUGGUUUCACUAUUAAAGAACUUCGGUUAUCGAUGGGGAUGCGUUCCAUUAGAUAGUUGGCGGGGUAACGGCCCACCAAGGCGACGAUCAGUAGCCCGACCUGAGAGGGUGACCGGCCACAUUGGGGACUGAGACACGGCCCAA
rnacentral:rRNA from 1 species